rnacentral:rRNA from 1 species
GUUGAACGCUAGCGGCAGGCCUAAUACAUGCAAGCCGAACGGCAAGAUUUUUCAGCAAUGGAAAUCCUAGAGUGGCGUAAGGGUGCGUAACACGUAUGCAAUCUGCCCUCAACAGGAGGAUAGCUCCCCGAAAGGGGAAUUAAGACUCCAUAAGAUCUUAGAGUGGCAUCACUUAGAGAUUAAACUACCAGGGGUUGAGGAUGAGCAUGCGCAUGANAGUUAGUUGGCGGGGUAACGCCCACCAAGACGAUGAUCAUUAGGGGAACUGAGAGGUUGA